UGGAUUCAGCGGCGGACGGGUGAGUAAUGCCUAGGAAUCUGCCUGGUAGUGGGGGACAACGUUUCGAAAGGAACGCUAAUACCGCAUACGUCCUACGGGAGAAAGCAGGGGACCUUCGGGCCUUGCGCUAUCAGAUGAGCCUAGGUCGGAUUAGCUAGUUGGUGAGGUAAUGGCUCACCAAGGCGACGAUCCGUAACUGGUCUGAGAGGAUGAUCAGUCACACUGGAACUGAGACACGGUCCAGACUCCUACGGGAGGCAGCAGUGGGGAAUAUUGGACAAUGGGCGAAAGCCUGAUCCAGCCAUGCCGCGUGUGUGAAGAAGGUCUUCGGAUUGUAAAGCACUUUAAGUUGGGAGGAAGGGUUGUAGAUUAAUACUCUGCAAUUUUGACGUUACCGACAGAAUAAGCACCGGCUAACUCUGUGCCAGCAGCCGCGGUAAUACAGAGGGUGCAAGCGUUAAUCGGAAUUACUGGGCGUAAAGCGCGCGUAGGUGGUUUGUUAAGUUGGAUGUGAAAUCCCCGGGCUCAACCUGGGAACUGCAUCCAAAACU
rnacentral:rRNA from 1 species